GUAAGAAUUUGGGUUAUAUCAGUAACUAGUUGAAAGUAGGGAUUUGUAUGAUUAUUCCAUGUUCUACUGGUACAUUUGUGUAGUGGAUUUCUAAAUUUCCUGAUGGACCUUUUAGAAGUGACUUGAGAGACUUGAGAUAUUAAUUUAACUUCCAUGAUUUGUGAGUUUAAAUUGUUUAUGUAGAUUUGGCUAAAACGUGAAUGCACAUUCAUUCAAAUAAUCCCAACAGGAUCUUUGAAUCUAAUUAUGAACUGCAACCUUAACUAACUGCUAGUAGUUCCAUUCCAUCAUGAGCGCAUAAAUGAUGAACUGAUUGUAGGUUUUUCU
rnacentral:misc_RNA from 1 species